GAUGAACGCUGGCGGCGUGCCUAAUACAUGCAAGUCGAGCGAACGGACGAGAAGCUUGCUUCUCUGAUGUUAGCGGCGGACGGGUGAGUAACACGUGGAUAACCUACCUAUAAGACUGGGAUAACUUCGGGAAACCGGAGCUAAUACCGGAUAAUAUUUUGAACCGCAUGGUUCAAAAGUGAAAGACGGUCUUGCUGUCACUUAUAGAUGGAUCCGCGCUGCAUUAGCUAGUUGGUAAGGUAACGGCUUACCAAGGCAACGAUGCAUAGCCGACCUCAGAGGCUGAUAGGCCACACUGGAACUGGGACACGGUCCAGACUCCUACGGGAGGCAGCAGUAGGGAAUCUUCCGCAACGGGCGAAAGCCUGACGGAGCAACGCCGCGUGAGUGAUGAAGGUCUUCGGAUCGUAAAACUCUGUUAUUAGGGAAGAACAUAUGUGUAAGUAACUGUGCACAUCUUGACGGUACCUAAUCAGAAAGCCCCGGCUAACUACGUG
rnacentral:rRNA from 1 species